CAACUACUCCCUCCGUCCCAAAUUUCUUGUCUUAGAUUUGUCUAGAUACGGAUGUAUCUAAUACUAAAAUGUGACUUGAUACAUCUGUAUCUAGACAAAUCUAAGACAAGAAUUUUGGGACGGAGGGAGUACUUU
rnacentral:pre_miRNA from 1 species